AGGAGGAACAGCCCCAGUGGUUGCUGCAGCUCUGGAAACCUGGAUACAGCUCCUGCAGGAACUACUCUGCAGGGCCCUGGAGGCUCUGGGGCGGG
rfam:Canis lupus familiaris chromosome 11, whole genome shotgun sequence.